rnacentral:lncRNA from 1 species
AAUCCUGGAAUACUCCAUGUGCUUUUUCAUGCAGCGGGAGUGGAAUUUUCAGGAAGCAGCUGUGCUGUGGGUGACGGUCAUACUUUAUUCUCUAAAACUCUCCAGUUUCAAUUGGCCUCUUGGUGCCAAAGCACCAUGGCGUGUUACACCUAUCAGAUCGGGCACACUGCCCCUUCUUCCCAACCUACGAGCUGAAAUGGCCAGCACUGCGCCUUCCAGAACCCAGCGUAGAUGCACAGCUGCCACGGAGGUAGGAAGAAUGAUUCGUUUGCCACCAAAAGCCCAGUUUCUCCAACAGGUGAAUCCCUAGGCCAGCCCGGCCCCUUCCCACACACCCCUACCCCGAGACGGGUGCAGAAUCAGCAGCGGGGAUCAUCCAGAGACUCUCGCAGUCCACGGCAGGUGUCGGAGUGGGCCUCAUUCCAGAGUUGUGGUGGCCGCUCCACCUGGCGAGCUUCGAGGGGACUCCGGCAGGCGCUCGCUGUGGGGUCCUCCCACCAGUCUUCUCAGCACAGGAACGGUGCCUUCACAUUGGUCUUCCGGGGCUUAAAAGCAUAUCAUUCCUGCUUGCUCUUCAGAUGCAAACUCCCCCUCCAAGGAUACCUCCAGGUUCCCUGCCAGCUCACUUGACUCACAUGGCAAUGGUCACCGGGCUGCCUGAGCCCAAAUCAAGCACCGUUUAUUAGGGGGAAGCUCCGUUAUCCAGAAAGCUCAUCUUUGAAGAGCUACCCAUUUCCUGCCAAAGUUGUGGCGGGAAGGCCUUAGGUACUAGAAAACCUUGGGGAAUGGCAAUUAAAGGAUUAUCAUUCUUACUUAUUUGUUUGGAUAAGCAGCAAUCACCCUUCGGAUGCUUAUUGGUGAGAAUAUUUCUAAAAGUGUCCUGCACAUUUCCCUGCUUUGAUGAAUGGAACGGCAGGGCAGGAUUUAACUGUCUGAUGGCUACGGUUUUGGGAAAGUGCCAGAACCUCCACGUCAGCCACCCCAGAGCCACAGGCAGGGUAUGAGCCACAGCAAUGGGCCCCAAGAAAGAGCCCCACACCCACCAUGGUCCACGGAAGACGCUGCUUACUGGCCCCGGGUUACCUGGAGUCAUGUGCAUUCUCCUUACAUCAAGUGAAGAUAAUAUUUUGUUUCCUUCCCACUUUUUCUCUAACACAAGCCACCCCAGUUCUCCCUUCUGACAACAGGCAAGUGGACCCUAGUAGACCUUCCAGAAAAGCCUUAGAGAGCACCCCCAAAUGCUCACAUUUGUCAGCUGUAAUUCCACCCUCAGUUAAAACCUGAUUCUCAAUGUGACUUGGCCAACGCAGCUUGCAAAGCAAGAACGUCUUCAUCUAAGGUUGAAAACAUCAGUUGUUUGGGUUGUGAGAAAAGAAAAGCCCACAAGGUUUCCGAGGCUUGGUGCUGUUUCUCACUGUCCUCAGCUCCUGAUUCUGCAGCUGGUUCUCUCUCCAAGCACUAGCAAAACCCUGCCCUAGGAGCCCCCAGACUCUGAGAGCCCAUGACCAAAAAGAAAAGGAAAGCCAAGUUGGGGAAGAACAGGGGCCCCCAACUCCACAGCCCUCCACUCUGCCCAGAGGGCCCACCCUGGGCUGCCUGGAACCCCCUAAAGUUGCCACCCCCGCAACACAGUAGUGGGGCAGUUCCUGGCAGCGCCUGCAGCCCAUGGGCUGGCUCUGUACCCGCAGCCCCGCCAAGCGUCUGUUAUCUUAUUUACUGGAAUCUGCACAGCCAGGCUCUAGCUCACCGGUGACUAAGGAGCUGCAGCCAUUAUUACCAGGCAGAUGGCAGACUCCCUAAAAGCAGACAUUAAACAAUAAAAUGCCACCACAUACCUUGCCC